AAAUUGAAGAGUUUGAUCAUGGCUCAGAUUGAACGCUGGCGGCAGGCCUAACACAUGCAAGUCGAACGGUAGCACAGAGAGCUUGCUCUCGGGUGACGAGUGGCGGACGGGUGAGUAAUGUCUGGGAAACUGCCUGAUGGAGGGGGAUAACUACUGGAAACGGUGGCUAAUACCGCAUAACGUCGCAAGACCAAAGAGGGGGACCUUCGGGCCUCUUGCCAUCAGAUGUGCCCAGAUGGGAUUAGCUGGUUGGUGAGGUAACGGCUCACCAAGGCGACGAUCCCUAGCUGGUCU
rnacentral:rRNA from 1 species